GAUGAACGCUGGCGGCGUGCCUAAUACAUGCAAGUCGAGCGAACGGACGAGAAGCUUGCUUUUCUGAUGUUAGCGGCGGACGGGUGAGUAACACGUGGAUAACCUACCUAUAAGACUGGGAUAACUUCGGGAAACCGGCGCUAAUACCGGAUAAUAUUUUGCACCGCAUGGUUCCAAAGUGAAAGACGGUCUUGCUGGCACUUAUAGAUGGAUCCGCGCUGCAUUAGCUAGUUGGUAAGGUAACGGCUUACCAAGGCAACGAUGCAUAGCCGACCUGAGAGGGUGAUCGGCCACACUGGAACUGAGACACGGUCCAGACUCCUACGGGAGGCAGCAGUAGGGAAUCUUCCGCAAUGGGCGAAAGCCUGACGGAGCAACGCCGCGUGAGUGAUGAAGGUCUUCGGAUCGUAAAACUCUGUUAUUAGGGAAGAACAUAUGUGUAAGUAACUGUGCACAUCUUGACGGUACCUAAUCAGAAAGCCACGGCUAACUACGUG
rnacentral:rRNA from 1 species